GGGCGGGGAGGCUGCUGGGGUUGAAGUGAGCAAAAGAAUGAUGGCCGUGCUUCCGGCCCCGGGCUGAAAUGGGCUAUUAUGUGUCAUCAGGAAACUUAAGAAGGGGGGAAAAAACAACCUCUGAUCAAAGUCCCUUUUGUCAACUUCUAACAGAUUAAUAGAUGACAGAUUUUGCACUUAGAGCUCUACUGCAAGGUCAAGGGCACUGAAAUGGGGCUUGUUGGGACUUUUUUCUUCUUUCGUUCAGCUUCUAGGUUGCAGAACUCAUCAUUCUGACAGCCUGCCUGCCUGAAAUGGCUCGAAGAAGAGACCAGCAUGCUGCCCGUCAUGGAACAGGGGCUUCCUGUUACAUAGAGACAGAACUCGUGACUUGCUGCGAACCAACAGGCCAGGAUAAAGGUGAUGUGGUGUUACCCCCUUGAUUUGGUUACAUUAUCCAGCAUGAGUAAAGGGCUGCCAAUUUCACGAUGAUGUUGCUUUAUAGAAAACUCUGUGCUGACAUCCUAGAAUGAGAGAUCCUCCUUGCCUGCUUGAUGAAGGCAGCAGCCAUGUUUUGGAAGACACAUAGCGAGGAACAGAAGGUGGGCAGCUCUAGGACAGCCUCCAGCUCCCAGCCAGCAAAAAGCAAGGUCCUUGGUCAUACAGCCUCAAGGAAUGAAUUCAGCCACAACCUGAGUGAGCUUAGAAUUGGAUCCAUCCCAGCUGAGCCUCCCAAUGAGAAUGCAAUCCAGCCAAGACCUUGACUGUGAACCUGUGGGAUCUGACACAGAAGACCCAGCUAAGCUAUUCCUGGUCUCCUGAUCCAUGAAAACUGUGAGAUAAUAAAUGUUUGUGUUGUUUUAAGUUACUACCUUUGAUCUACUCUGCUACUCAGUGGUUAACAAACUGAUAGAUGGCUCUUAAAGACACAUGCUUUGGGAUCUGGAAGUCCCAAGUAAUCUGGGGGAAAUUCAGUUUCACUCUAAUCAGUCAAUGCAUUGGCAGGAAAUUUUUGCCAGCCAACUCAUAGCAAGACUUCAGAACAAGGGCUUGGAGAGUGAAAACGGGGCUAGGCCUGGGGAGAGUGAGAGAGAGGCUUAGAAAAAUGAGAGUCACACAGUCAGACAGGGAACAGGUAGAGCCCUGGGCCUGAAGUCAGGUUCUGGGUUCCAGACUUUGCAGAUGGUUUGCUAGUAGGCUUUGGGCAAAGCAGCCUCUGUCUGGGUCUCUGUGAUCUCAUCUGCAGGCCAAGUGGUAUAAACAGUCUGAGCUCCACAGCUCCCUCUGGCUCUGGCUUUCUCAGUGAAUGGCAAUUCAAGUUUGCCAAGGAACUCUACAGCUUAGAGU
ensembl:lncRNA